rnacentral:rRNA from 1 species
GAUGAACGCUGGCGGCAUGCCUAAUACAUGCAAGUCGAACGAGAGGAAGGAAAGCUUGCUUUUCUGAAUCUAGUGGCGAACGGGUGAGUAACACGUAGGUAACCUGCCCAUGUGCCCGGGAUAACUUCUGGAAACGGAUGCUAAAACCGGAUAGGUAGCAGACAAGCAUUUGACUGCUAUUAAAGUGGCUAAGGCCAUGAACAUGGAUGGACCUGCGGUGCAUUAGCUAGUUGGUGAGGUAACGGCCCACCAAGGCGACGAUGCAUAGCCGGCCUGAGAGGGCGGACGGCCACAUUGGGACUGAGACACGGCCCAAACUCCUACGGGAGGCAGCAGUAGGGAAUUCUCGUCAAUGGGGGGAACCCUGAACGAGCAAUGCCGCGUGAGUGAGGAAGGUCUUCGGAUCGUAAAGCUCUGUUGUAAGAGAAAAACGACAUUCAUAGGGAAUGAUGAGUGAGUGAUGGUAUCUUACCAGAAAGUCACGGCUAACUACGUGCCAGCAGCAGCCGCGG